GCUGGAUUUCCAAUAAAAGAGUAAAUAUAUAGUGCUCUCAUUUUGGGUAGUGUCAGAUUAUCUGCUUUUUGUGUGUGUGUGUGUUGGGGAUGCAGUGCUUAUAUAAGGGGUAUAGCUUGUGUAGUUUUUGUGUGGGUGCAGUUGGUGUAUUGUUAGUGCAGGGAAUUUAGUGUGUAUAUAAGAGUAUAGAGUGUGUGAGUGUGUGUGUGUGUGUGUGUGUGUGUUAGUGCAGUGGCUGUGUGCAUAUAUAUGGGUAGAAAGUAUGUUUAUGCAGAGGCUGUAGUGUUUGUGUGUGUGUGUG